CUGGGUGAUUAAUAAACUAAUUGACACGGGGGACACUUGUCACUGGCGAAGCAGCUCCCUAGCCAAAGCGAGGAGCAACUACAUAGCGUCUCCCGGGGAGCUGGGAAGUGACAGUCUACACCCGCUUCCGGGCUCCCCGUGACAUAGGCCAGCCGGGCCUCCAUUUACACCUCAAAGCAAAGUCACAGAGGGAUCCGCCCCUUUCCUGGCUGCCUACACAGAAAGCAGCCAUGGGAGACUUGCCGAGGACUUUGUCCACCAAGUGAUGAAAGCAUGCAAAUGCCUCCGAAUCAAAGGCCUGAGCCACGUAUGAAGUGUGAAUCUUCACACCAUGCAAGAGAAGCCACAUGUUAUUGCUCUGGUCAACAAUCCCAGCUGACCCAACCAGAUAGUGUAUCAGGCAUAUGAGUAAAGCAUUCUUAGAUUCUUCAGUCCAGCCCUUCACCAGCAGAACACCAUUCAGCAACCCUUGUCGGCAUCAUGUGGGACAGAAGAACCACCCAGCUGAGCCUUAUCCAAAUUCCUGACCACAAAAUCAUAAGCCCUGAGAGAGCAAGACCAGCCCCUUCUUUUCUUCCACCUCCUCAUCUACUCAACAUGUAUCUUCAUUCUCAAGACGAUGAGGAUGAAGACCUUUAUGAUGCUCCACUCCCAGUUAAUAAAUAGAUCCAGAUUUGCUGUUCAGUGUCUCCUCAGUGUCCUCUAAUCUGUGAUUCUUUCUUGGACUUUUCUUGACCUUGAAACUUUUGAAAAGCACCCAAGUAUUGUGUAGAAUGUGCCCCAGUUUGAGUUUGGCUGAUGUUUUCUCAUGGAUACUCUGAGGGUAUGGAUUUUGAGGAAGAAUCCCACAGAGGUGAUGUGAUCUUGUCUUCCACUAUGUCAGGGGGUACCUGGGAGCCACAUGACUCCUCACUGGUGAUGUAAUCUUGGUUACUUGGUUAAGGUGGUGUUGGCCAAGUUUCUCCACUGUAAAGUUACUAUUUUUAGUUUUCCAUACUCUAUCCAUUGGCAUUAAGUUGCUAAAUCCAGCCCACAUUCAAGAAAGGAAGCGUUUCAAGAAAUCUGUAGUCAUAUGUUAAAACCACCAUACUAAUUAGAAAAUUUGGGAGGAGAAACUUUGACAUGAUGAAAAUAUCCUAUUUCUCAUUAAAGCUUUGCUCAUUAACUUUAGCAUUCAUCCACGGACCUGGCCCGCAGCAUUUAUUAAUGUGAUGUUCCAAUGGUGCUUUUCUAGUUCCUUCAGAACUUCAUUGCCAGGUUCACAGCAGGAGUGGCACACUUGAUUUCUCUUUGAAAAGUGAUUCCAGGGUUCAUGGACUGAAAUAGGAAGCCAGUGUGGAGGUCAUUGUGAUGACUCAGGUAAGGGAUGGUGGCAUCUUGGGCCAGGUGGAGGCAGUGCUCUUAGAUUAUCUGUGGAACUGCUAAAAGCAUGGAGAUGCCAUCAUUAAGGAGGGGGAAGGCUGAGCUGGGCCAUUUGGUAUGGAGUAAGCCAGGUGCUCAGUUGCAUUAGGCAUCCCAGUGGAGAUAUUGAAUAAGCAGCCUCAUAACUGAGUAAGAAGUCAGGAGUGAGGUCCCUUUCACCUUGGAAUUUCUUCUUCAAGCUGAAUUUGAGCUUUCUCCAUAGCGCAUCCUCAUUAAAUAUUCUCAUUUUAAAGGCUAAAAGGUAAGCCUCACUGUGUUGUUCUAAGAAUUACAUAAAUUAAUAUAUGCCAAGCUCUGAAACUCAAUAAAAGAUGUUACUUGUGUUAGCAGAAUUAAAAGAUCUCUUCCUCCCAUAAAUCAGCAAUUCUACUUCUAGGAAUAAAACCAAGGAAAAAGUGUACCUAAUAAGACAGAUAAAAAGAAUGUUCACAGCAGCAUUGUUCAUUACAGUAAACAAAAAAAUUGGAAACAAC
rnacentral:lncRNA from 10 species